rnacentral:piRNA from 1 species
UUCCAGCCCAUAACUAGUAGAUGGAAAGCAAA